CAGAUCCCGGCUGCCUGCCCCACUCGGAGCUGGGAGCAGCCCUUGGGAUGACGCUGCUCUCUCCCUGGACAUCUGCCCCAAAGCAGGACGGCAUCCCACGGGCCGGAGGGAAGCGCAGACUCGGGAACCCCGGGGGGGAUUUACAGCAGCUGGGACUGACUGGAGAAGGGAUUUCCGAGGCACCAGCCCAACUCCGAGCUGGGGAAAGGAGAAAUCGUGGGGGGAUGGCUGUGAGCGAGCCGGGAUACGGGCCAGCAGGAUGAUCCUGACGGGCUCAGUUCCCAUCCCCUUCCACGGGCACGCUGAGCUCACGGGUGGCACCUGGGGACUCCUCUUGUCCCUCACCCCCACCUCCAGCCGCCAGCCCCGGGCAGAACCAGUGGCGCCGCAGCGAUGCCGAGCCCGGCAUGUGAGCAUUCCUCGAUUUUUGGACGUUUUCCGAGUUCCAGAGGAGGCCGUGGCUUGCUGCAGCAGUCGGCCCCGCUCCUCUCCCCAGCAGGGAAGGAUGUUCCCCCUCUGCACGGAUGCGAGCUGCCCUUCUCACAGCCAUCCAUCCCACCGCGUGGGGAGAAAGUUGUUCCGAGGGAAUGUGAGCUGUAUCCUCCCGUGGGAGGGCUGCAGGGCUCCUUGUAGCUCUGCUGGGAAAGCUGGAACCCCUGGGACGGUCAGAAUUCCCAAAAAAAGCCUUUCCCCCUUUCCUUUUCCUCCCAGGGCAAGCUGGGAUGUGUCACGCCAGACACAUUUGGGAGUCUGGCCUUUCCCGCGGUGCCACGAGGGGUUCUAUAAUAUUUAUAAUCUAAUCUAUAAUAUUUAUAGUCUGUACCGAGCACGCUCUGAGAAUGGUUAAACCAUAUCCCAAAGUGUGUAGAGGAAAUUCCUCGGGAUGUCUUGCUCACUUUUUGUGAGGUUCAGGAUGCGUGUGUGCCUUUUGUAAAGGCACGGGGCUCGUUUUGGUGUCCUUAUAGGACUGAAAGUUACAGCUGUGCUGCCCAUUAUAGAAGAAAUAUUUAUCUAAGUCUUUCAUGAAAGGCGGGUGUAUAAAUUAUAUUUAGUUUCUGGUACCCUUUUGCCAGGGGAAAAUGGGAAUUUGUUACUGUCCUUGGAGGAUGUUUUGAUGUGUUCUGUGCAAGCUGCACCAAUGUAUGACCUGUGCCAGAGUUAUCUUGAAAGUCAGAAAUUGCAGAAACUUUUAACGGUCAAAAAUAAAUAAAAAUCUGCUUAACCGA